AGAGUUUGAUCCUGGCUCAGAACGAACGCUGGCGGCAGGCCUCAAACAUGCAAGUCUAGGGGGUGUAGCAAUACAUCACCGGCGGACGGGUGCGUAACGCGUGGGAAUGUACCUAUUGGUUCGGAACAACUGAGGGAAACUUCAGCUAAUACCGAAUGUGCCCUAACGGGGAAAGAUUUAUCGCCAAUGGAUCAGCCCGCGUUCGAUUAGCUAGUUGGUGGGGUAACGGCCCACCAAGGCGACGAUCGAUAGCUGUUCUGAGAGGAAGAUCAGCCACACUGGGACUGAGACACGGCCCAGACUCCUACGGGAGGCAGCAGUUGGGAAUCUUGGACAAUGGGGGAAACCCUGAUCCAGCCAUGCCGCGUGAGUGAUGAAGGCCUUCGGGUUGUAAAACUC
rnacentral:rRNA from 1 species